AAGUGCUGAAAGCAUCUAAGCAUGAAGCCCCCCUCAAGAUGAGAUUUCCCAUUCCGCAAGGAAGUAAGAUCCCUGAAAGAUGAUCAGGUUGAUAGGUCUGAGGUGGAAGCGUGGUGACACGUGGAGCUGACAGAUACUAAUAGAUCGAGGACUUAACCUAUA
rnacentral:rRNA from 2 species